AGUAUCUGAACUUAGGGCAUGGCUACACUUGCAGUUGUAGAGCACUGGGAGUUAAACCAGCCUUCGAAGACCGCAACAGGGAAAACGCUGCCGAGUGUUUACGCUCUCAGUUGGAAGCACACUGGCGUGGCCACAUUAGCAGCUCUUGCAAGGCCACAAAGAGCAGUGCAUCGUGGUAGCUAUCCCAGCAUGCAAGUGUCUGCAACUUGCUUUUCAAUAGCGGGGGGUGGGGUGGAAUGUGACAAGGAGUGUG